rnacentral:rRNA from 1 species
AGAGUUUGAUCCUGGCUCAGGACGAACGCUGGCGGCGCGCCUAACACAUGCAAGUCGAACGAGAGAUGAGGAGCUUGCUCUUCAAAUCGAGUGGCGAACGGGUGAGUAACGCGUGAGGAACCUGCCUCAAAGAGGGGGACAACAGUUGGAAACGACUGCUAAUACCGCAUAAGCCCACGGCUCGGCAUCGAGCAGAGGGAAAAGGAGCAAUCCGCUUUGAGAUGGCCUCGCGUCCGAUUAGCUAGUUGGUGAGGUAACGGCCCACCAAGGCGACGAUCGGUAGCCGGACUGAGAGGUUGAACGGCCACAUUGGGACUGAGACACGGCCCAGACUCCUACGGGAGGCAGCAGUGGGGAAUAUUGCACAAUGGGGGAAACCCUGAUGCAGCGACGCCGCGUGGAGGAAGAAGGUCUUCGGAUUGUAAACUCCUGUUGUUGAGGAAGAUAAUGACGGUACUCAACAAGGAAGUGACGGCUAACUACGUGCCAGCAGCCGCGGUAAAACGUAGGUCACAAGCGUUGUCCGGAAUUACUGGGUGUAAAGGGAGCGCAGGCGGGAGAACAAGUUGGAAGUGAAAUCCAUGGGCUCAACCCAUGAACUGCUUUCAAAACUGUUUUUCUUGAGUAGUGCAGAGGUAGGCGGAAUUCCCGGUGUAGCGGUGGAAUGCGUAGAUAUCGGGAGGAACACCAGUGGCGAAGGCGGCCUACUGGGCACCAACUGACGCUGAGGCUCGAAAGUGUGGGUAGCAAACAGGAUUAGAUACCCUGGUAGUCCACACCGUAAACGAUGAUUACUAGGUGUUGGAGGAUUGACCCCUUCAGUGCCGCAGUUAACACAAUAAGUAAUCCACCUGGGGAGUACGACCGCAAGGUUGAAACUCAAAGGAAUUGACGGGGGCCCGCACAAGCAGUGGAGUAUGUGGUUUAAUUCGACGCAACGCGAAGAACCUUACCAAGUCUUGACAUCCCUUGACGAUGCUGGAAACAGUAUUUCUCUUCGGAGCAAGGAGACAGGUGGUGCAUGGUUGUCGUCAGCUCGUGUCGUGAGAUGUUGGGUUAAGUCCCGCAACGAGCGCAACCCUUAUGGUCAGUUACUACGCAAGAGGACUCUGGCCAGACUGCCGUUGACAAAACGGAGGAAGGUGGGGAUGACGUCAAAUCAUCAUGCCCUUUAUGACUUGGGCUACACACGUACUACAAUGGCGUUAAACAAAGAGAAGCAAGGCCGCGAGGUGGAGCAAAACUCAGGAACAACGUCCCAGUUCGGACUGCAGGCUGCAACUCGCCUGCACGAGGUCGGAAUUGC